UACUGCGACACCAGGCCCCAGGUUCACUUACCGAAAAAACCGACCAAAUACAGCAGCGAAAACACAUUCAGCGACGUUUCUCCUGCGACCAGUCGACGCAUCAUUGGAUCCGAAGGCAUGAGCAGAGGAAUUUAAUAUCCAGUUGCUGUGCCAGGUACCACCCAGCCCAAGGUGUGGAGAGCAGGGAGAAAUGACAGCCUUCUCUUUCUUCUUCAAUUUGAUUGCACAGGGAGCAUACAGUUUCUGAUCUGUGGUGUGGCACUCACAGAGCAAGUUCACAUGCUUGCAUUUCUCAAAAUGUGUCUUGGUUUCACCGCUCAGUCCGCCUCAUCGUCUGCGACUCGCAGGUCUCUCAGUUGUCUGGAAAGUGGACUCGUGAUCAAAGCAUCAGGCAGACCGAAGGCCAGUACGUGAUCCACAUGACGAGAGAAAUUUGUGAAAGGAAAACGUUCUUACUGGCCAGGACAUUUAAGUGUAGAGUUCCUGGGAAGUCUAGCUCUUCCCCACAGCAGCACACCCACCUCAUGCUUUUCUGACACCACACAGGAAAUCAAGCUUCAAGAACUCACAGACCCGGUCUGCAGGAACAGAAUGGUAUCAUUAAGCUCCUGCACCCCUGGGAAGGAGAAGACACUUUAUGUGUUCUUGCAGUAUGUUGUGCUGUACUGGCAUUGUUGCACUGAGAAAAUAGUAAAAAAAAAAA